GGACAUGGGGGGAACCCUGAUCCAGCCAUGCCGCGUGUGUGAAGAAGGCCUUUUGGUUGUAAAGCACUUUAAGCGAGGAGGAGGCAUACCUCUAGAUUAAUACUCCUAGGAAUCAGUGGACGUUACUCGCAGAAUAAGCACCGGCUAACUCUGUGCCAGCAGCCGCGGUAAUACAGAGGGUGCAAGCGUUAAUCGGAUUUACUGGGCGUAAAGCGCGCGUAGGUGGCCAAUUAAGUCAAAUGUGAAAUCCCCGAGCUUAACUUGGGAAUUGCAUUCGAUACUGGUUGGCUAGAGUAUGGGAGAGGAUGGUAGAAUUCCAGGUGUAGCGGUGAAAUGCGUAGAGAUCUGGAGGAAUACCGAUGGCGAAGGCAGCCAUCUGGCCUAAUACUGACACUGAGGUGCGAAAGCAUGGGGAGCAAACAGGAUUAGAUACCCUGGUAGUCCAUGCCGUAAACGAUGUCUACUAGCCGUUGGGGCCUUUGAGGCUUUAGUGGCGCAGCUAACGCGAUAAGUAGACCGCCUGGGGAGUACGGUCGCAAGACUAAAACUCAAAUGAAUNGACGGGGGCCCGCACAAGCGGUGGAGCAUGUGGUNUAAUUCGAUGC
rnacentral:rRNA from 1 species